AUUGAACGCUGGCGGCAGGCUUAACACAUGCAAGUCGAGCGGUAACAUUUCUAGCUUGCUAGAAGAUGACGAGCGGCGGACGGGUGAGUAAUACUUAGGAAUCUACCUAGUAGUGGGGGAUAGCUCGGGGAAACUCGAAUUAAUACCGCAUACGACCUACGGGAGAAAGGGGGCAACUUGUUGCUCUCGCUAUUAGAUGAGCCUAAGUCGGAUUAGCUAGAUGGUGGGGUAAAGGCCUACCAUGGCGACGAUCUGUAGCUGGUCUGAGAGGAUGAUCAGCCACACCGGGACUGAGACACGGCCCGGACUCCUACGGGAGGCAGCAGUGGGGAAUAUUGGACAAUGGGGGAAACCCUGAUCCAGCCAUGCCGCGUGUGUGAAGAAGGCCUUUUGGUUGUAAAGCACUUUAAGCAGUGAAGAAGACUCUUCGGUUAAUACCCGGAGACGAUGACAUUAGCUGCAGAAUAAGCACCGGCUAACUCUGUGCCAGCAGCCGCGGUAAUACAGAGGGUGCAAGCGUUAAUCGGAAUUACUGGGCGUAAAGCGAGCGUAGGUGGCUUGAUAAGUCAGAUGUGAAAUCCCCGGGCUUAACCUGGGAACUGCAUCUGAUACUGUUAGGCUAGAGUAGGUGGGAGGAAGGUAGAAUUCCAGGUGUAGCGGUGAAAUGCGUAGAGAUCUGGAGGAAUACCGAUGGCGAAGGCAGCCUUCUGGCAUCAUACUGACACUGAGGCUCGAAAGCGUGGGUAGCAAACAGG
rnacentral:rRNA from 1 species